GAGAGGUGCAAUAAACGCGUGUGACGUCAUAGGUGUGACGGCCGCUGUGAUGUGCCCAGAGCCUAGUUCUGUCGGCGGACAGCGCGGGCCUCUCCGCAGACACAAGUCAGAACGCGUCUACACUGCCGAGCCGCCCCCCGCCUUUCCCGGCGGGCCCAGAGGCCGGCUCAGCUGACUCGGCCUUUUGCGGGGCUGAAGACACCCAUGUAAAUGUUGGGGCUCAGGCGGGAGCUCGGGCUCUGAGACCCUCCCCGUUGGCGGGAGCACAAAUCUACUCGGCAAUUUGACAGCCCCGCAGUCGGCACGGGCCUGCGUCUGGUUGCUGUGUAGCCCCACCCUGCGAUUCGGCGCGGCAGGGCUCAUUUUGCUGUGUAGACGGCAGUAAGGCUGCAGCGAGCUGAGGGUGACUUGCACGAGCUAUGCCUGCGGUGCAAGGCUUGCUUGAGCAUUUGCGAGGCCCCACCCAGUGUCAACAAGAAAUCACUAUGUCCGUGCCUGAGGGCAGUGACACGCAACACCCCCUUAACCUCUCGGAGCGCUUUGCCAAGCUGUCCUGGUCCCCCACUUUGGCUGGGCCAUGGGUGCAGAUAGCCAUCAUCAAGAAAGGGAAAUCAAACCUGGUCGACAGCUCCUUUGCUGGGCACAUCUCUGUGUCCAACAGAUGGUUCAUCGUGACAAACGCCAGCAAAGCCAUUGCAGGGAAUUUGAAGAUUGUGAAUGAGAUGAAUGAAAGCAAAUGUCUGGCUUCUAUCCAUCUGAAUGUAACAGAGCCUGCGCCAACCUCAGCUCCGGUCUCCCAGGUGGCCCUGGUCAGCAACUGGAUGGCAGCAGGGGAGCCCGGAUCUCAGUCCACCCAUAUUGUAGCGGUGGUGGUGGGGACAGUGGUGGCCUUUCUGGUGUUGGUGUUGGCACUGGGGCUAUGGCAGAGAAAUAAGAAAGCUCACUGCAGAGACUGGUUCCGCAGCUGUCUUGGCUUCCGUGCCAGAGCCGCCCCGUCCCAGCAGGCCGGCGACGCAAGCCCCGUGCAGGAAAUGCAGGAGCUGGCAAAGAUGACGCAGCCGGAGGAUGCCAGCGGUGGGGACCGGUCAGCCGUGAUGAGUGGGAAACUUCUCGGCAGCGCUGAAAUGAGAAACACUGCGGGACUGGAGAGUGGGGAGGGAUGAACCCCGUCCCUCAACAUCCACUCAAUUUGCAGCGGCAGUCCAAAAAGAGCCAAUAUUCAUAUAUUCAAUGUACUUGUUUGAUUCUAAGUAGCUGCAAUGAAGCAUUUGGUCAGUUUCUAGAGAAAUGACUAUUCUCAUGUGAAAGUAGAAUGAAUUAUAUUGUAAAAAUAGAAUGGAUUAAACAAAUGCUGUAUGUACCUUUAAGCAGAAAUAAGGAAUGUUGAAAUACAGGUGUCAGGAAAAGAAACAUUAAGGCAUAAACAAUGAGUCCUCUUAAGCUAAUCGUGGAACAUAAACUGGAGAUCUGUAAAAGUUAGUAAGGAAAUUGAAUAUGUAUGUCUAGCCUCAGGUAAACUUGAUAGUUCUGCUUUCUUUGUCCUCUUGUUAAGUUUGUGCCCUUUUUAUCUGUAUAAAAUAAGCUAGUGUGGGUCUUGCGUGGUGCUCACAUUAUCUGAGUGUAUUAGCAGAGCACUGUGUUAAUAAACAGAGUGGUCUAAUAAAUUGUGAGUCCUGA
rnacentral:lncRNA from 1 species